UAAACCUGUACAUUCACUUUGUCCACUGAUGGAAAGCAGAAAGGCUGCUAGUCAAAAUGGAACUCCUUUGUUUCCAAAUGGUUGGUUCCCCUGAAUCUGGCAAUGGAAAAAAGCUACAUUUUUAUUCCCUUUGCACAGGCUUUCCUACACUAAAUUCAACCCGGUGAUACAGAUGGAAACCUGGCUGGGGCUGGGGCUGGCAAGGGAGCCCCUCUCCUAGCCUCGUCCAUGGGGACUGUGGCUCCACGGGCCCCAUCCUGCUCAGCCUCCCAUUCCUGCAGCACCUCCUCCAGAUUGAAGUAGUGCCGGUAGCUCACAAAGAAGGUCUUCACCUGGCCCCUCAGCCGCCGGGCCUGUCCGUCCAUCAUGCCAGUUCGGCUGUGGGUUUUCUUCCAAGAGUAGUGAUAUUUCACCCAGGCUGGAAAUCAACUUGUCGGGCAGCAUCUGCUGGAUCCACACUUGUCGUGGAAGCCAAAGUCCUGUUCAAACAACACCUUGUCCUCUACUGUCCACUCGUCAGGGAACGGGGUGAAGUUGGCCAGGUCGGCCAGUGACUUCUCCACAUGGUGCUUAUGCCACAAGAGCAUGCCCAGCACCUGCUCAAUGUUGUAGCUGUGCUUCUCCGUGGCCAUCGCAAUGUACUUGUCAGGCUUGGCAUCCGACACACAGCGGUUGGGUGACCACACCAGCAUCCCCUUCAGCUUCUUGUUGCUGUAGCAUGUGAGGCUCUCAGGCUUGCUCUCUGGAAUUACAGCCUGGUAAUUGGUUCCAAUGCGGAUCAUGCUGUCGUGUGAGUGCUCCUCCUCUCUGCUGU
rnacentral:lncRNA from 1 species